rnacentral:rRNA from 1 species
GAGUAGAGUUGUUUGGGAAUACAGCUGUAAGCGGGAGGAAAAUUUUUUCUAAGAAAAAAUACCGCCCAGAGACCGAUAGCGCACAAGUAGUGUGAUCGAAAGAUGAAAAGCACUUCGGAAGGAGAGUCAAACAGCACCUGAAAUUGUUGAAGGGGAAGCGGUUGCUGCCACACUAGCCGCGGUCGGUCUUCCGCCCCCCGGGGCGGUGCACUCUUCCGCGGCGGGCCACCAUCGUUUCGGGGGGCCGCACAAAGGCCCGGGGAACGAAGUUCCCUCCGGGGAGUGUUAUAGCCCCCGGCGCCAUACGGCCAGCCCGGCCGAGAGACCCGCGUUUGUGAGGACGCUGGCGUAAAGGUCGCAAGCGACCCGUCUUUAAACACGCACCAAGGAGUGUAUCAUCUAUGCGAGUGUUGUGUGUGUCAAACCCCCACGCGCAAUCAAGAGAACGGAGGUGGGACCCCACGAGGGUGCACCAUCGACCGAUCCUGAUGUCUUCGGAUGGAUUUGAGUAAGAGCAUAGCUGUUGGGACCCGAAAGAUGGUGAAUCUAUGCCUGAAUAGGGUGAAGCCAGAGGAAACUCUGGUGGAGG